AUGUCUGGAAGGCUGUGGUCCAAGGCCAUUUUUGCCGGCUAUAAGUGGGGUCUCCGGGACUAAAGGGAGCACACAGCUCUUCUUAAAACUGAAGGUGUUUAUGCCCUAGAUGAAACAGAAUUCUAUUUGGGCAAGAGAUGCACUUAUGUAUACAAAGCAAAGAACAACACAGUGACUCCUGGAGGCAAACCAAACAAAACCAGAGUAAUCUGGGGAAAGGUAACUUGGGCCCAUGGAAACAGUGGCAUGGUUCAUGCCAAAUUCUGAUGCAAUCUUCCUGCUAAGGCGAUUGGACACAGAAUCUGAGUGAUGCUGUACCCCUCA
rnacentral:lncRNA from 1 species